GGGCUCAUGGAGUACCCUAGUGAGGGUAUUUUUGGUAAAGUAAUUGGUCUGAUAGCCAGAUAAGGAAGUGUUGAUGGGUGGGGAGGAGGUGAGAAAAUAGUUAUAACACUGAUUCUACACUUUUAAUUUAUAAGAGCAAAAGUAAAUGCAAAAUAACUUUGUAUUAUCUUGACAAGUUAGCAAGCUUUUAUUUUUCUAAGUGAAAAUAUUUUAAAUUCUACCUAGCAAUAUCAUCACUUCAUUUAAAAAACAAACAAAUAAGAAUAAUAUAACAAUAAAAGUUAGUCCUUUGGAAAAGAAGGUUGGGAUUUUUCAUCUAACAUACUGACUUAUAAUAUCAUGUAUGGGUAGACAUAAACAAUAUUAGUUUAUCAGUUUCCCUCUUACUAGGGACAUAUAAAAAUCUUCUAGUGAUCUGAUCCUAAUUCCUGGCCCAGGGUUUGGUCCUUUCUACCUAGCUCUCUUUUGAGACACUAGGUAUGCAUGCAGGAGAGUAAGGUUAACAAUAGGAUCCAAUAGAGACUGUUUGCUUAGCAUCCAAGAUUUCUGUUUAUAUUUUGAUGCUACUGUUACAACAGCAAAAGAAGAGUGGCUUCAGAUGGAAGAGAAAAGGUCAUAAUUUACAGCACAGUGUUCCUGAAAGAGUGCAGCCAAGAGUCCAGAAGACAGGUGCGGGGACUGGAUUUCAAUGGGAAAGAGAGAAUCUGUGCAUCCAGUGACUUGAAAAAAACAAUUCCAUCCUGGGUCACAACCAAUUUCUAAGAUAAGAGGGUGUGAUGAGUGCGGGUGAAGCUGGAGCUGACAGCACCAUCUCCAUCGACAGCCUGCUGGCAUGGACCUCUAGGAGCUUCCCCUCCUUGACUACCUUCUCUACAUGUCUUCAGAAGCCCUCCUUUCAAGUGCUUUCUCUGGAAUUUACAAGCCAUCAUGUUACAGGUGUAUUUGUAAGAUUCUAGAGAGAUCUACCUAUCUGGGAAAACAUGGGCGAACACAGCAACUGUCGACUUCGGUUCUUGUCAUCUAGGGCUGUAUGCAGCGAGCAUAUUUCUGUGGAAGGCAGAUGUGAAUGAGAGAGCCAAGCAAGGGACUAGCUCAUAGCAUGACUCUUACAACGAUCUGCCAAUUACCAAAGUCACUCCUCCCUUGGAGAGACAUGAAUGGAAGAAUUUGGAGGGGAAAGGUCAAGUUCUCGCCUCAAAAUAGCUGAUUUAUGUCCUAAGCUCAUACAAUAUAGAAGCAGAAAUUCAGGAGAAGGCCCAAGAUUCCCGCGUCAGUACAGGAACUGACAUGCAGGCUCCGUAGCUUUACAUAGUCCCCAUCUGUUAUUCAGAAGGUGGUGCUUAUUUCUCUGUGUGCAUCAGUUAGGUUACUCUGUACAAGCACAAUCCAACUUGCAAGCAAAGCACCUAGAGCCUUGUGAUAAGGAGUCACAGGCUUUGUAAUAAGGCUUCAGUGAUGAGGAGUAGCGUGACCCAUGGGACUCUAGACUCCAGCUGUCAGGCAGGCUUGGGCAUCAGUUGAUCUAACAUCCAAACAAUGCCACCAAUGACCCAGUUUCUUUUAUUCUUUCCACCAUGAUGUCCACUGUUAUCUAAUUCAUCUUAGGUGGCUCCCUUCAGGUCUGUGUCAUGACUGCCAACAGCACUGGACUAUAAACUUCCUCUUCUCUGUCCAAACAGAGAAGGCAACUGCUUUGACUGUACGGCACAAGCCUUGGGCUUCAAAUCACAGCUUGGUUGAUACAAGUUAGCUGAGUUAAGUCCUAAACCAAGCAUUUCAGCGAGAAGAAGAGAGUGAUCUUAAAUGUCUUAGGUCAGUCAGGGCCCCUCAGUAAGGUUAGGUCUCAUUCACAUCCUGUAGCUGCUACAUGACAGGACUGGAACUAAGAUCUGUGAAAUAUCCACAAUAUAAGCCAAAGAGUAGACUCCUUACACUUGUAUUAAGUGCUCAGUAUUUAUUGAGAGAAUAAAUUUAUUACAAAUGCACUAGAAGCAGUUUGCUGAAGCAUCAAGUAGCUAGUUAUAAUCAUUUAUGUAAAGUACAGUGUUAUAUAAGGUUACAAUAGUUUAGUUAUUGUAGGAUUUAAGUUGUAAAGAGCCUUCAGGACUAGGGGUAUAGCUCAGUGGCCUAUGUUUAAAAUCUACAAGGUUUUAGCACAUGUGAAAAAAUAAAUGAGGAAUAUCCCGGUCAGAAGUAUAUCUCAUUUAGGAAAAAGUAAGAUAGGACAGGAUUUUUUUUUGAAAUGGCGAUUGAAAUAUAACUUACAUGAGUUAUCACUGAUUCAAUACAACUUCACAGUGUUUCACAAAUAAAGAUUUAGUACAAAUGGAAAGAUAAUUGUCAUAACUUUUCUUUUGACAUUAAUAGAGGGACAAUUGAUUAAAUGUGAACACUAAACUUUUAGCUUUGAAACAAAACAUUAUUGCUUUAUCUCAAGCUUUGGUAAUAUUUUACAUUUUUUUAAAUCUAAAAAUUAAGAGAAAAAACAAGUAACCCUUGGUGUUGUAAAGCAAAUAGAAAUAAGAUAUAAUAAUUUUAUAUAAUAUCUUAUUUUCUAUUUUUAUCUCUUAUCAUCUUUAUUCUUUCCUGAAAGACAGAAAAAAAAUUCUUAAAACACAUACAUUUUAAAUGUAUUAGGCCUUUUAAAAAUAAAUACAAUUAAUUUAUUUGAGAUCAUGACAAAGUCUCACAGGCUUUCUACAAAGCUACAGUCCUGAAGAUUUAGGUUUACAAGUGUGUAAAACAUACCCAGUUCCUCUAAACUUCUUUGCUUUUAGAAACAUAUACUUACACGUGGUAAAUUAUUCUGUUAAAACAUUUAUUUUUCAAACUGAAAUAGUAUCUCCAUAUCUUACCUUCUACUACAAGCUGUUGUACUUAAUCUUUAUUAAAUCAAAUCAUACUUCUGA